rnacentral:lncRNA from 1 species
GUGAAUUUAGAGGUCGAAAGACGACCUUCCUCUUCACCAUCUUUCUGACCUCCGAUUGGAGUUCCUCUGGCCGCUUCACCGCAGGCUCUGGCUUCCUUUUCUCCAGGUACCUUUCUAUGGAGAGAUUAUGGACGUUUGCUGGUGAUGGUGGAUGGCGUGUGAGGCUCAGCUUAAGCACUUUUGGACUAACUCUGAAAACAAGAACCUGUACUGCUCUAUAAACAUUUGUGAACCACGUGGGAUGAAUUGGAGGGAUACAGGCAUGGAUGACCUGUAAUGCUUGCCCAUAGGCUGUGCAGGGGCUGGCUGUGGUCAGGACUCAGCAGGUGAAGGUGCCUGCUGCCCAGCCUGAUGAUCCGAGUCCACUUUCUGGAAUCUCCAUGGUUGACUGCCUCCAAGAGUUCCUUCUACAGCUGGAAUGCAAGAUCCUGAGUGGAGUCCAGGUGGUGGGUCUGGGAGCCUCCAGAGAGUCAUGGCCAGUCAGGAUGGCUGCCGUCCCCGUGCUUCUGGAGAGGGGCUUAGCCAAGAGGAAGCCACCCCAAAGGCUGAUCUCCUGACAGUUGAGCCGGUCCCCUGACAUGUGGCAUGCUGCAGAGCCUCGGAGGAAAGAGACAGCAACACUGACGAAUGAGCCCAGUCUUCUGCAGGCGUUUUCUCAUCUGGGGGUCCCUCCUCUCAGAUGACUCUAGCUUGUGUGAAGUUGACACAAAUCUAGCCAGCGGACUGCAUGAAACUCGGAGACUGGUCUUGGUGAGGAAACCAAAGGAGCUGACUCAGAAAGUCAACGGGAACCAAGAUACCCUGCGCAGCAGAGAAUUCAAAGUAUAUCAGGCUCAUGCUGGAAGAAGGCUCGGCAGUUAAGAGCAUAUACUGAGUCCAGAGGACCUGAGUCCACUUGCCAGCAAUCACACCAGGUGUCUAUAACUCUAGGUCCAGGCCAGAGCUCUGCAGCACCUACAACCAUGUGCGCACACACUUACAUAUAACUAAGACUAAUAAAAAUGAACGUUUUUAAAAAAUGUCAUGCGUCAGAACCAUCAGUUCAGAACCUGUGUGCUUUAUUUAGAGUUUUUCCGGUCAGCUCGGCAUGAGCUGGAGUCAUCUGAGAAGAGGGAACUUCAGUUGAGAAACCACCUCCAUCAGAUGGGCCUGCUGGCA